rnacentral:ncRNA from 1 species
UAAAAAACAGUGAACAGACUAGUAGAGUAGUUAUCGGUGAUAGAAAGCUCUUGUUGAUGGAAAUGGAGCCCAGUAAUUAUUUGAAUCACAUCUGUGAGUUGAUUUUCUGAAUAUUAGUAGGAAAGUCCGGGAUGCCCGUUACAGCUACAAGUUUAAUUAAUAAACUUGUUGAGACUGAGCUUGUGAGAGUUUAGUGCACAUGAGGUGGAACCGCGGGAACGCCCUCAAAGUCAUUAUUGACUUUGAGGGCGUUUUAUAUUUACCAAGGUGUAGCCUUAACAAAAUUUAUUAGUUAAACUUAUUGAGGUAGCUACUGUGAGGUAACUACGAAGCAGAGGUGGUACCACGACUAGACGUCCUCUUA